UUGAACGCUAGCGGCAUGCCUUACACAUGCAAGUCGAACGGUAGAGGGGCAACCCUUGAGAGUGGCGAACGGGUGAGUAAUGCAUCGGAACGUGCCCAGUCGUGGGGGAUAACGCAGCGAAAGCUGUGCUAAUACCGCAUGUGAUCUGUGGAUGAAAGCAGGGGACCGCAAGGCCUUGUGCGAUUGGAGCGGCCGAUGUCAGAUUAGCUAGUUGGUAGGGUAAAAGCCUACCAAGGCGACGAUCUGUAGCUG
rnacentral:rRNA from 1 species